rnacentral:rRNA from 1 species
AUGUUGAAGCUCAAAGAAAUUGAGGAGAGGAAUGAGGCCGAGCGACGUAGGGCGGCGGCCGAGGAGAAGAGGGCGGCGGCCGAAGAGAGGUUGGCGGCGGCCAAGGAGAAAAAAGUUGAGCUUGAGGAGAGAAAGUCGGCGGCCGAGGAGAUGAAGAUAGUGGAGAAGAAGGCACUCAAGUUUAUGUUCAUGGACACAUCCACCCUUGAUGUCAAGGCAAAGGCGUAUGUCGAACUUUGCCGCGAUGAAAUGCUCAUGAGAAGCAUGAUGGGAGGUGGAAUGGGAGGUUCCAUGGGAGGACGAAUGGGAGGGUACAUGAACAUGAUGGGUGGUGCCAUGAAUGGUGCAUUUGGUGGAAACAUGGGAGGUGGCUUUGGUGGCAACAUGGAUGGUGGCUUCGGAGGAAUGGGAGGCGGAAUGGGAAGUGGCUUCGGCGGCAAUAUGACCGGCAUGGGAGGUGGCUUCGGCGAUAGCAUGAUGAGUGGCAUGGGAGGUAGCUUCGGUGGCAACAUGAUGAGUGUCAUGGGAGGUGGCUUCGGUGGCAACAUGAUGAGUGGCAUGGGAGGUGGCUUCAGUGGCAACAUGAACGGCACAGGAGAUGGCAAUGAAGGUGCUUCUGGUGGAGUUCACGACAACGAGACUUCAAUGCAAGAAAACGUCGAGAAAGAAGCCGUUGAAACUAUGAUCGAUGAUGCACUUUUGUUGCUACAAUUAUGA